GCGCCCGUAGCUCAACAGGAAAGAGCAUCAGCCUUCUAAGCUGAGGGUUGGGCGUUCGAGUCGCCCCGGGCGCG
rnacentral:tRNA from 1 species